UCACACAAAUACAACAUUGUUAUCAUCAAAACUCAAGGUAUAAAUGCAAAACCAAAUCUUGUUCUAACAAUUACCAUCCAGACUAACCACAACCGCAUCCACCUAAAGUGACAAACACAGAGGAGAGAGAAUCAACUUUAAAAUGUGAGUCACUAGGGAGGUUAAUCCUUUCUAGAGUCAAUUUAUAUGAAGAAAGAUCAGAUUAAUGACCAAUGAAAUAUUUG
rnacentral:lncRNA from 1 species